GUGCUGAAGGUAAACAAAACUGCGGCGGGUGCUUCGGUGAAUGUAGCGGGGUCGACGAAGGAGUCCAAGAUGUCUGAUGACUGAGAUGGAAGACGGAGUGGAGGAGUUGGUCAAUGACAGCAGCUGAAUCUUGACCCAUCACAAAAUGAAACGGUUGACUAUGGGGUUGGUGGUUUCUUCCCUUUUGGCUUUGAUGGCACACUUGCAGGAGCAGCAACCUGUUUCUAUGCUUUUGUUGGAUUUGACUGCAUUGCAACAACAGGGGAGGAGGUGAAGAACCCGCAGAAAGCCAUACCUAUUGCGAUCGUGGCGUCCCUGCUCAUCUGCUUCGUGGCCUACUUUGGCGUGUCAGCUGCUCUGACUCUCAUGAUGCCCUACUAUCUGCUCGACAACCUCAGCCCUCUUCCUGUGGCCUUUGAAUAUAUCCACUGGGAGCCUGCAAAGUACGUUGUGGCUGUGGGAUCCCUCUGUGCUCUCUCAACAAGUCUUUUGGGAGUGAUGUUUCCGAUGCCACGGGUGCUCUUUGCCAUGGC